GGCCGCGUGGCAAAAUGGUUACUGCGUUGCUUUCCGGCUACAGCAUUAGCUUCUGGUUAGGCAGAGAUUGUGCGUUCGAUCCGCACCGUGGUCG